UCGGCCGGGGACUGCGCCCUGAUGCCUGCCGGUAGCGCGGCGCCAUUCCUGCCCCCCUCCCGCUCUCCUGGCGUUCCCAUCUCCCCCAUUUCCUUAACACCUCCAACCGUUUCCCUGCAAACUUAACCCUUUCGCGGUUCCAGCAAAUUGCUUCUCACCCGGAGUGAGGGACACAUGGCUAGCCUCAGAGGCUCUCUUACCCCAGAGUCACCUCACCCUGUCCAAGACGCCGACUGUGACCUGGCCUCUGUGUUCCGAAAACCCAGCAGCGCCUGUCUUGGACCGCCAUCCGGCACUCCAGAGCUAAUGCUCGCAUCUGCUCUAAUUUACAUGCCCAGAGUUAGCGGAUCCAUAAAGCAUCUACCUAAGACUAUCAAAACUCAUCGCUAAUGGAGAGUACCUCGAUUGUGUUUGAUCUCCAAAUUGGGAAUGGGUUGUGAUUCCAGUUUCCUUAGAAACGUUUAGGGUUUGAUUGGUUUCUGUGAAGGACGAGAUGGACAAUUACAGAACGCAUUACGGACCAUGGGUUGUAAUGCUUUAUGUGGCAACAGUGAAGAGCAUCGUCAGAUAAAAAGGUUCUGAGACUUUCUGUGCACCAUAAUUAGAAUUUAAUCCUUCUUUUUCAUGCCUCCGAACUGUGUGAGACUUUAAAAUGAUUUCCUCAAAUUAUAUAUGAUUCACACCGUAA